rnacentral:rRNA from 1 species
AGAGUUUGAUGGUGGCUCAGGAUGAACGCUAGCUACAGGCUUAACACAUGCAAGUCGAGGGGCAGCAUGAACUUAGCUUGCUAAGUUUGAUGGCGACCGGCGCACGGGUGAGUAACACGUAUCCAACCUGCCGAUGACUCGGGGAUAGCCUUUCGAAAGAAAGAUUAAUACCCGAUGGCAUAGUUCUUCCGCAUGGUAGAACUAUUAAAGAAUUUCGGUCAUCGAUGGGGAUGCGUUCCAUUAGGUUGUUGGCGGGGUAACGGCCCACCAAGCCUUCGAUGGAUAGGGGUUCUGAGAGGAAGGUCCCCCACAUUGGAACUGAGACACGGUCCAAACUCCUACGGGAGGCAGCAGUGAGGAAUAUUGGUCAAUGGACGAGAGUCUGAACCAGCCAAGUAGCGUGAAGGAUGACUGCCCUAUGGGUUGUAAACUUCUUUUAUACGGGAAUAAAGUGAGGCACGUGUGCCUUUUUGUAUGUACCGUAUGAAUAAGGAUCGGCUAACUCCGUGCCAGCAGCCGCGGUAAUACGGAGGAUCCGAGCGUUAUCCGGAUUUAUUGGGUUUAAAGGGAGCGUAGGCGGACGCUUAAGUCAGUUGUGAAAGUUUGCGGCUCAACCGUAGAAUUGCAGUUGAUACUGGGUGUCUUGAGUACAGUAGAGGCAGGCGGAAUUCGUGGUGUAGCGGUGAAAUGCUUAGAUAUCACGAAGAACUCCGAUUGCGAAGGCAGCCUGCUGGACUGUAACUGACGCUGAUGCUCGAAAGUGUGGGUAUCAAACAGGAUUAGAUACCCUGGUAGUCCACACAGUAAACGAUGAAUACUCGCUGUUUGCGAUAUACAGUAAGCGGCCAAGCGAAAGCGUUAAGUAU